AUUGAACGCUGGCGGCAUGCUUUACACAUGCAAGUCGAACGGCAGCGCGGGCUUCGGCCUGGCGGCGAGUGGCGAACGGGUGAGUAAUGCAUCGGAACGUGCCCAGUAGUGGGGGAUAGCCCGGCGAAAGCCGGAUUAAUACCGCAUACGACCUGAGGGUGAAAGCGGGGGACCGAAAGGCCUCGCGCUAUUGGAGCGGCCGAUGUCGGAUUAGCUAGUUGGUGGGGUAAAGGCUUACCAAGGCGACGAUCCGUAGCUGGUCUGAGAGGACGACCAGCCACACUGGGACUGAGACACGGCCCAGACUCCUACGGGAGGCAGCAGUGGGGAAUUUUGGACAAUGGGGGCAACCCUGAUCCAGCCAUGCCGCGUGCGGGAAGAAGGCCUUCGGGUUGUAAACCGCUUUUGUUCGGGAAGAAAUCCUCUGGGCUAAUACCCCGGCGGGAUGACGGUACCGGAAGAAUAAGCACCGGCUAACUACGUG
rnacentral:rRNA from 1 species